CCUACGGGAGGCAGCAGUGGGGAAUAUUGCUCAAUGGGGGAAACCCUGAAGCAGCAACGCCGCGUGGAGGAUGAAGGUUUUCGGAUUGUAAACUCCUUUUGUUAGAGAAGAUAAUGACGGUAUCUAACGAAUAAGCACCGGCUAACUCCGUGCCAGCAGCCGCGGUAAUACGGAGGGUGCAAGCGUUACUCGGAAUCACUGGGCGUAAAGAGCGCGUAGGCGGGAUAGCAAGUCAGAUGUGAAAUCCUAUGGCUUAACCAUAGAACUGCAUUUGAAACUGUUAUUCUAGAGUAUGGGAGAGGUAGGUGGAAUUCGUGGUGUAGGGGUAAAAUCCGUAGAGAUCAAGAGGAAUACUGAUUGCGAAGGCGACCUGCUGGAACAUAACUGACGCUGAGGCGCGAAAGCGUGGGGAGCAAACAGGAUUAGAUACCCUAGUAGUC
rnacentral:rRNA from 1 species